CACGUAGGCACCAAGCGUUGUCCGGAUUUAUUGGGCGUAAAGAGCUCGUAGGCGGUUCGGUAAGUCGGGUGUGAAAACUUUGGGCUCAACCCAAAGCCUGCACCCGAUACUGCUGUGACUUGAGUCCGGUAGGGGAGUGGGGAAUUCCUGGUGUAGCGGUGGAAUGCGCAGAUAUCAGGAGGAACACCGGUGGCGAAGGCAGGUCUCUGGGCCACUACUGACGCUGAGAAGCGAAAGCAUGGGGAGCGAACAGG
rnacentral:rRNA from 1 species